rnacentral:sRNA from 1 species
ACUCUGAUAUAGGGAGUUCGGUCUCUGAAUGCGGCAUAUAUGCCCUCUUAGAAGGGAAAUAUAAAGCACUCAGGAGGACACCCACCUGGGGAGCCGGGUCUCUAUUUACAGUCAGCGAACACGGCAUGGUGGGGCUUUU